rnacentral:lncRNA from 1 species
CUUCUUCCACGAUUUCGUCCCCUUCUUUUCACUAAUAUCCCACCACACCCAAGCUUCAAACACCUUCUUCAACAUCUUCACCGAAAGCUUCAUAUCACGGCUGUUCAUCGUUCAUCUGCAUUCACCGCUGCAUUCCACCUCUCCAAAAACACGUUCCAUAUUCUUCAUUUUUUGUUCGUCCAUCCAUGUUCACCGCCACCCUCUCAAACUUUCUCCAUGUUGCUGUCUUCGACUCUCUCCCUGCUGCUCUAUCUCCAUCUGUCCACGCGAAGCAUUCAAGUGUUCGUCCAUCCUUUGGGCCUUCAUUUCUCCAGGUUUCACUCGAUUAAUUUAUAAUUUUCCUUUAAUUUCUUUGUUUUAUUAUGAUCUCCGCCUCAAUUUUUCUAGGGUUUUUAAUUUAUUAAUCUAGUUUGAAAUGUUUUAAGUUUAAUUGGUUAACUUAAAAAGAAAAAAGAAAAAAGAAAAAAAUGGUUAACUUAACGUCUCUUGCUCCCUCUAACUCAUAUGAUCUCUGUUUUGCCAAAAAGAUUUCACUUCAGCCAUUAAUAUACUAGAAGGAAAAAAAAAAUUCAAAAGGAAAAAAGUGAAUAGUUUGUCUCAUUUUCAUUGCAGCCCUAACUAUUUUCUCUAAUGUACCAAGUAAUUGGUGAUGUCUUAUUGUUAAUUUCUUUUAUGUUCUUCUCCAGUUAAGGACUUGUAAAUUUGUAUUUAAUUAAAGAGCUGACUCAUCACUUUGAUACAUAAGUCAUAAUAUUGUGUUCUUUUUUCCCCUUAAUUCUUUGCAAUGGCCGAAGUAAGUUAGAUGAUUUAGCCUUUUAUUUUAUUCUUCAAAGUUUAUUUAUUGUUUGUUUCCUUGGCCACGAUUGCUUUGUAGAUUAUGAUAAGACAAUGCUAAUGGCAGUUCGUUUCUACUUAGAUAUAAAAUCAAGCCAUUUCGAAAUGCAUUUACACCUUAUUAAGUUUGGCCUCUUUCGUUAAUCCAAAGCUGCAAGAAAAUUUAUUGAUUGCAUGAAA